rnacentral:rRNA from 1 species
GACGUAGGGCGCGAGCGUUGUCCGGAUUUAUUGGGCGUAAAGAGCUCGUAGGCGGCUUGUCGCGUCGGCUGUGAAAACCCGCGGCUCAACCGCGGGCCUGCAGCCGAUACGGGCAGGCUAGAGUUCGGUAGGGGAGACUGGAAUUCCCGGUGUAGCGGUGAAAUGCGCAGAUAUCGGGAGGAACACCAAUGGCGAAGGCAGCUCGCUGGGACGUUACUGACGCUGAGACGCGAAAGCGUGGGGAGCAAACAGG